rnacentral:piRNA from 1 species
UGAUCAAAAUGCAUGCCAUAAUUUCUUUAGA